rnacentral:rRNA from 1 species
UACGUAGGGGGCAAGCGUUGUCCGGAUUCAUUGGGCGUAAAGAGCGUGUAGGCGGCCAGGUAGGUCGGUUGUGAAAACUGGAGGCUCAACCUUCAGAGGUCGACCGAAACCAUCUGGCUAGAGUCCGGGAGAGGAGAGUGGAAUUCCUGGUGUAGCGGUGAAAUGCGCAGAUAUCAGGAAGAACACCCGUGGCUAAAGCGGCUCUCUGGAACGGUACUGACGCUGAGACGCGAAAGCGUGGGGAGCGAACAGG